rnacentral:rRNA from 1 species
AACGAACGCUGGCGGCGUGCCUAACACAUGCAAGUCGAACGAGAUCUUCGGGUCUAGUGGCGCACGGGUGCGUAACGCGUGGGAAUCUGCCCUUUGGUUCGGAAUAACAGUUGGAAACGACUGCUAAUACCGGAUGAUGACGAAAGUCCAAAGAUUUAUCGCCAGAGGAUGAGCCCGCGUAGGGUUAGCUAGUUGGUGUGGUAAAGGCGCACCAAGGCGACGAUCCUUAGCUGGUCUGAGAGGAUGAUCAGCCACACUGGGACUGAGACACGGCCCAGACUCCUACGGGAGGCAGCAGUGGGGAAUAUUGGACAAUGGGCGAAAGCCUGAUCCAGCAAUGCCGCGUGAGUGAUGAAGGCCUUAGGGUUGUAAAGCUCUUUUACCCGGGAUGAUAAUGACAGUACCGGGAGAAUAAGCUCCGGCUAACUCCGUGCCAGCAGCCGCGGUAA